AAAAAAAAAAAAAUCAAAAUUGAUUUUCUUUUUUCCUAAAUCGUUUCAUAAUGGCAGACGAAGCCAGUGAAGAUAAAGGAAGCUUAGACCGAUUAUUCCUCAUUGUUUUGGGGUCGUAAUACAAGUUUCCAGGUAUUCCUGCAUUGCUGUGGGGCCAUGUGCCUAGACAUCUUGCGUCCUCCUUCCAGCCUGGCACAGAGACCAUUCCCACAGUUGUCACAGUAAAAUUUAACCACACUUGCAAAAUCAAGGUGGUCUAAUAAGCUCCCGAGAAUAGCCACUGCCCACCAGGCCCAGUGGGUAAAUGUUCCAUUUUGUUUUUGAAAAAAAAAAAACAAAACAAAAUCAUGAAGCUUAGUAUGAGAAUGCUUGUCUGGCACACUCGAGGCCCUGAAAUUGAUCCCCACCACUGAGGGAAAAAUAUAACACAUGACACUUUGGGUAAAUAAAAGUUUGACUCUGGAAUUAAAAAAAAAUUCAAAUAACAUUUAAUAAAAAAAAAAAGAUGUAAUGAGAAGUGGACAAAUGCCAGACAUUGUCAGUCUCACUGAUAAUCAAAAUUAAAAUUAAUGUUGCCCAGGUGUGCAGUUUUUACCUAAUAAAUUGACAAAGAUUAAUAUAAAUAAGAUAUUGAAAACAAACGUAAUGGACACAGGGGUGCCAGCUAAAAGUCUGAGGUAUCAAAACCCUUAAAAGAAACAUAGACUAUUAGUAUUUUCUAUUCUAGUCCUUAUACUAUAUAAAGGUAUCCUCUGGAACUGUCCAUAUUCUGUCAGCAGCUGUCACUGGCAGAGCUCAACAAGUAGCCUAGGCUGACCAGUAGGUGAGCCCCAGCGAGCCAGCGGCAAUCAUCUUUCUUUAAAUCCUCACAUCUUUAGUGCUGCGGUUGCAAGCGCCACCAUGGUGGCCAGGGGUUUUUGGUUUUGUUUUUUAGUUUUUUUUCUUUUUUUCUUUUUUUUUAACGUGGGUCUGGAGAUAGAGCACUGGUCCUCAUAAUUGGAAGGUAAGCUCUUAACUGACUGAGCUACUACCUCCCUAGCUGGGUGCUUCUCAGCCUUCUUGAUGCUUCCACUCUCUGAUACAGUUCCUCAUGUUGGAGCAACCCUCAACCUUAAAGGGUUUUUUUUUUAAUUGCUCUUUCAUAACUGUAAUUUUGCUACUCUUGUGAAUCUUGAUGUAAAUAUCUGAUGUGUGAAAGGACUGUUCAACAGCCAGGGCUUUACAGGAAAAUCCUGUCUCAAAAACAAACAAACAAAAAAAAGAGAGAGAGAAAGAGAGAUAGAAAGAAAGGAAAAUCCCCUUUGCUUCUAUUUACCCUUUUAACUAAGAUUACCCUGACUUUUCUUGAAAACUGGAAGUGAUGUCUGAGGCCAGGCUAUUUCACUUAUGGAAAUCUUCUCUGAAGAUGGUGAGAGCACUUGUUGACGGUGGACACUGGGUGAGGUGAGCAGGAGAGCCUCUGCUUCCGGUGGUGAGCAACUCUUGCUGCUACGGAAGGGAAGCAGCUGGCAACAUCACUCCUCAGCACGUCACUGUCACCGCCUAGGGAAAGAGUUCACACUCUGCUCCCCUGCACAGGGUCCCUGAGUCUCUCUUCUCCUGCUUCUUAGCACAGUUUGCUUUUCUCUGUGGCCUGCCAAAUGAGAGUUUGUUCUACCCAGAUGACCCCAGAUUCCCUCCAAGAACCUCCCUUCCCCUCCGGCUGCUCUGAGUUCUCCAAAUGACUGACUGGGAAAACUUGAAGAAAAAAAAAAAAAAACCCUCCCUCCCAGCUUGUCUGCAGUGGAGUCAGUAUCCUGUCAGGCUACCAAAGAGACACUAGAAGAUGCUUCCUGCUUCCUAAUGUGUGUGCAAAGGUCAGAAAAGAUGCAACCAAGAUGAUCAGCUCUACCAUUUUUGGCAGGGUCACCCACCCUGUUAUUGACCAAAUGUCUCUUUCCUCUGCACCCCAGAAGCUGUCCAGCCCAAGUCUUGGACCAUUUUCUGUGUCUCAGGUCCAUUCCAACAGGGUGACCGGUUGGUGGCUUGUGUACAAAGGAGCUCCAUGGCUACAAUUAAAUAUUGACAGCUUUGAGGAUAACAAAAUACCAAGCAGUAUAAAAACCACAUGGAUCGUAUUCCCUAGGCUACCUCCAGGAAGAUAUGGCGGCAUGCAGAAGAG
rnacentral:lncRNA from 1 species